rnacentral:misc_RNA from 1 species
AACUAGGCCUACAUUCAAAGGAUACAAGAAAAAUAACAUAGGGCUAAAACAAAAAGAAGCCAUUAAAGCUCAAUCUUCAAGUUUCUUCAUAAUCCAUUCUUCCAGAAUGUCCAUCUAUCUCCUUAGAGGAAGCUAGAAGCUGUCAAACCUUGCAGAAAACUGAGGUCAUUUGUGUACUUUGGCUGUGCAUAGUCAAAGGAAUUCAUCAAGAAUCAAGUUCAUCAGAAAUGGAAGGAUGAAGAAUCAUAUCUGUACUUAUUCCUGAUAUUGUACUGCUCGAACUUCGGCUCGUUAUAAUCCAUCCUCAUCUCUGCAGGUUUUGGUUCAGCCCCGACUACGCCUGUUAAGAUAUCUGAUCCUUUCUCUUUCUGUCGAUGUCUUGAUCUAUCCUUCUGGCCCUUGGACCGGCUAUGGGAGGAAGAAACCAGGCCUGUCCCAUAAAACUCGGCAUACUCUUGUCCCGAGUGACCAUGCUUGUUCAACAGAGAUGGAUUCUUGAAACUACUUGAUUUCAUUUUUGGUGGCUUCAUUUCAUCAUGUUUAAUUGAGGCAUGCUUGGUUUCAGAGAGAGGAGUGAUAGUUCUCUGUUUCAAGGACACAUUGGUCUUGAUUUCAUCUUCUGGCAUCUUGAGAUUAUCUUUCAAAGGUGUCAGACCUUUCCCCUGGUUAUCUUCUGAUCUAAAGUAAGGAGGAAGAAAGGAUUUGAGGUUGCCAGGAAACAAUUCGAUUGCUUGCUUGCAAAGUUCAGCAAUCACCUGUCCGAAAGACUCCCACCAUGUUUCUUCUUUUAUGGUACUUACAAGCUGAGUUUGUUUUCCCUUGCUCAGUUCUUUAGUUUCAGUCUCCAAAUGUUCACUUUGCACCAUAAAAGAGAAGAAUGACAGCCUGAAUCCAUGUUGAAGCAUAUAUGUAAAAUAUCCUAUUAGGAGAGCGCCAAUGAACAUAGCAACAUCUGAGGUAGAAACUGAACCAUAUUGGUAAUCGCAAUCCUCCUUGUUAAGAGAUAUUUGGCGAAGUGCAGCAUUUCCUCUAUCA